rnacentral:RNase_P_RNA from 1 species
GAGGAACGUCCGGGCUCCACAGAGCAGGGCGGUGGCUAACAGCCACCCGGGGUGACCCGCGGGACAGUGCCACAGAGAGUAGACCGCCCACCGCAUCCCGGUGAGCAAGGGUGAAAGGGUGGGGUAAGAGCCCACCAGCGCGACGGGCGACCGCCGCGGAUCGGUAAACCCCGCCCGGAGCAAGACCGCACAGCUGGCGACUGAAGGCUGCUCGCCCAAGUCAGCGGGUAGGUCGCACGAGGCCGUUGGCAACAACGGUCCAAGAUGAAUGGUCGCCACCGCCCAGUCCGGUAACGGCGGGCGGCAACAGAACCCGGCGUA